rnacentral:tRNA from 1 species
AGGAGUGUAGUUCAAUUGGUAGAACAACGGGCUUCAACCCCGUAUGUUGUGGGUUCGAGACCUAUCACUCCUG